UCAGGCCUCGGGCCGCAGCCGCCGCCGUGGGGCCAAUCCAGCCUUGGGGGCGCACCUGAGCCGCCUUCCCGGGUCCCCGGCGGAGUCCCCGGCCAGCCCCGCCCCUCGGACUCCCCGGGCCGCCCCCGGUCCCCUUUCGGGCCCGGCCUCGCGGCGGCGGCGGCAACAUCGGCGGCAUCUGGCCCAGGCUGGGCCGCGUCCGGAGUCCCGGAGUCCCGGAGUCGGCGCGGCGCGGUGGGAGCUGGCAGGGGCAGCCUUCCACCACGGGGAGCCCAGCUGUCAGCUGCCUCACGGGAAGAUGCUGCGUCAGCGGGGCCGCCCUGGCCUGGAUGUGCACGUGGGUGCAGCUCUGGGAGCACUGUGGUUCUGCCUCACAGGAGCCCUGGAGGUCCAUGUCCCUGAAGACCCGGUGGUGGCCCUGGUGGGCACCGAUGCCACCCUGCGCUGCUCCUUCUCCCCUGAGCCUGGCUUCAGCCUGGCACAGCUCAAGCUCAUCUGGCAGCUGACAGACACCAAACAGCUGGUGCACAGCUUCGCCGAGGGCCGGGACCAGGGCAGCGCCUAUGCCAACCGCACAGCGCUCUUCCCGGACCUGCUGGUGCAGGGCAACGCAUCCCUGAGGCUGCAGCGCGUGCGCGUGGCAGACGAGGGCAGCUUCACCUGCUUCGUGAGCAUCCGGGACUUCGGCAGCGCUGCGGUCAGCCUGCAGGUGGCUGCUCCCUACUCAAAGCCCAGCAUGACCCUGGAGCCCAACAAGGACCUGCGGCCCGGGGACAUGGUGACCAUCACGUGCUCCAGCUACCGGGGCUACCCUGAGGCCAAGGUGUUCUGGCAGGACGGGCAGGGUGCGCCCCUGACCAGCAACGUGACCACGUCGCAGAUGGCCAACGAGCAGGGCUUGUUCGAUGUGCACAGCGUCCUGCGGGUGGUGCUGGGUGCAAAUGGCACCUACAGCUGCCUGGUGCGCAACCCCGUGCUGCAGCAGGACGCGCACGGCUCCGUGACCAUCACACCCCAGAGAAGCCCCACAGGAGCCGUAGAGGUCCAGGUCCCUGAAGACCCGGUGGUGGCCCUGGUGGGCACCGAUGCCACCCUGUGCUGCUCCUUCUCCCCUGAGCCUGGCUUCAGCCUGGCACAGCUCAACCUCAUCUGGCAGCUGACAGACACCAAACAGCUGGUGCACAGCUUCGCCGAGGGCCGGGAUCAGGGCAGUGCCUAUGCCAACCGCACAGCGCUCUUCCCGGACCUGCUGGUGCAGGGCAACGCAUCCCUGAGGCUGCAGCGCGUGCGCGUGGCAGACGAGGGCAGCUUCACCUGCUUCGUGAGCAUCCGGGACUUCGGCAGCGCUGCGGUCAGCCUGCAGGUGGCUGCUCCCUACUCGAAGCCCAGCAUGACCCUGGAGCCCAACAAGGACCUGCGGCCCGGGGACACAGUGACCAUCACAUGCUCCAGCUACCGGGGCUACCCUGAGGCUGAGGUGUUCUGGCAGGACGGGCAGGGUGCACCCCUGACCAGCAACGUGACCACGUCGCAGAUGGCCAACGAGCAGGGCUUGUUCGAUGUGCACAGCGUCCUGCGGGUGGUGCUGGGUGCAAAUGGCACCUACAGCUGCCUGGUGCGCAACCCUGUGCUGCAGCAGGACACGCACGGCUCCGUGACCAUCACAGGUGAAGAAACUGAGGUCCACACAGAAGGGGUAUCUUUCCCAAGGUCACAGACUGGCAUGGUGGUUCUGAAUCUUUGGGAGUCAGACCCUUCUUUGAAAAUCAGGGCAGCCCAUGACAUUCCCCCCGGAGGCCCUGUGGGUGACUGUGGGGCUCGCUGUCUGUCUCGUUGCACUGCUGGUGGCCCUGGCUUUUGUGUGCUGGAGAAAGAUCAAACAGAGCUGUGAGGAGGAGAAUGCAGGAGCUGAGGACCAGGAUGGGGAGGGAGAAGGAGCCAAGACGGCCCUGCAGCCUCUGAAACACUCUGAAAGCAAAGAAGAUGAUGGACAAGAAAUAGCCUGACCAUGAGGACCAGGGAGCUGCUGCCCCUCCCUGUGGCUCCUACCCUCUGGCUGCAAUGGAGCUGCACUAUGAGCCCCGCCCCCAACAGACGUGUCCCGCUCUGACAGGUGGGCUCCUUCUCCAAAGGAUGCGAUACGCAGACCACCGUGCAGCCUAUUUCUCCAAUGGACAUGAUUCCCAAGUCAUCCUGCUGCCUUAUUUCUUAAUAGACACAAUACACAGACCACCCCACAACGUUAUUUCUCUAAGUCAUCCUGCCUGCUGCCUUAUUUCACAGCACAUGCAUUUCCUAGGGACACAGUACCCUGACCACAUCACCACCCACUUCUUCCAGUGCUGCGUGGACCAUCUGGCUGCCUUUUUUCUCCAAAAGAUGCAAUAUUCAGACUGACUGACCCCCUGCCUUAUUUCACCAAAGACGCGACACAUAGUCACCCCGGCCUUGUUCCCCCAAUGAGACUGAUACACUAGUUACCACGUUCAGCCCGGCUUCCACCUGCAUAGAAUCUUGUCUUCUCAGAUGGGGACAGUGCAGCCUCCGCAUCUCCUGGAGUCUAGAAGCUGUUUCCUCUCUCCUCCUUCCUCCUCUUGCUCUGGCCCCAGUAUCGACCUUUUCCCUCCCUGCCCCAAGUGAAGACAGGGUACUCUUCGCCCACCACACGCACAGGUACGCAGAGAGACCUGCAGGUGCACGUGCUGGAACACGUGUGGUUCCCCCCGACCCUGGCCCAGCCUCCUCUGCAGCGCCCCUUCUCCUGCCCACCCUCCCCGCAGAAGCACGUGCUGUUCUCCAGGGAUCUGUGAUGGGGCCCCUGGCGGUCACCUUCUGUCCCUCUGCCUUUCCACCUCUUGGUUCCCUUACUUUCAUUUAUCCAUUCAGUUAAUGUUUAUUGAGCAACUACAGAUGUCAGUACUGUGUUAGGUGCUGGGGGUCCUGCGUGGGAAGGUCAGUUCCUCCCUCAAGGACUCCCCAUCCAGCUAGGAGACAGACAGCCAGCUACACUCCCCUUGCAGUUCUCGGUGGGGCUCCUGCCUCGCUCCCUGCUCUACCACUCCCUUGUGCUCAAGGCUUUCUGGAUACUUCACCCCCAUCCCAUCCCUAAUUCUUACCCAGAGCAUGGGGUGGGGGCAGAAACCUGGAGAAGGGACAUAGCCCCUUGCACGGCCAGAGAAUCUGGUGGGUGUCCAAAGUGUCUGCCUAGGCAUGGGCAAGUGGGCAGACACCAAGGUCCCCAGACCUCGCAUAGCAGCAGCAGGGGCGGAGCCUGGGGCAGAGUAAAGCCAGGAGUGCUUUGGGGACACAGAGGGGACUGCCCCCCACCCCCACCAUGGUGCUAUUCUGGGGCCGGGCAGGCUCUUCCUGGCUUAACUCUGGCCAGCUCCAGGCCUCUGGUGGAGUGAGACUUCAGACGUUCUGAUGCCUUCCGGAUGUCAUCUCUCCCUGCCCCAGGAAUAGAAGAUGUGAGGACUUCUAAUUUAAAUGUGGGACUCAGAGGGGUUUUGUAAACCGGGGGUAUAUUUUGGGGAAAAUAAAUGUCUUUGUAAAAAGCUU